UGGUGAGAGGGGAGAGGGGGAUGGAGAGUGAAGAGGGAUGGAUGUCAAAGGAGAGAGAGGGACAAAGGGAGGAUAGGAUGAGGGGCUUGAGAGAGGAGAUGGAGGAGAGAGGAUGGCUGCUACAGUAUAGUGCUGGGUCUGAAUGAGAGCCAUGGAGGCACGGUUAACUCUGAGUUAACUCUCUUGCAUACGUAAUAUUAUUUUCUGUCUCUCCCCCCUUCUCCUCCUAGAUACACGCACACUAGUGUGUUCUCUCACUCUCUCUCUCUCUCUCUCUCUCUCUCUCUCUCUCUCUCUCUCUCUCUCUCUCUCUCUCUCUCUCUCACUCCCGUACGCUCCCUUGCUCGCAUUAUCUCUCUGACUCCCUUCCCCCACUCCCUUUCAGUGACACAGAAAAACGAACGCCACCCCUCCCUCUCGCUCUCUCGUUCUCCCCCAUCCUCCAAUGGCACACAAACACCCUGGUCUCUCAUUCCACCCGCUCUCACUUUGUUUUUAUUGUUUAUUUGUAAUCCCCCUCUUUUUCAGUCAAAUCACCCACGGUCAUGGAAGAUCAUCUCUCAUCUUUCCAUCUCUGCUUUUCGUGGUUGUUGUUGAAUCAUGGUGUUGAUACUAUUUUGCAGUCUCCACUCGAAACUGGUUUUGCAACUCCCCUCUCCCUCUAUUCAUCGCUCACCCUCCCUCCUUCCCUCCAUCCCUCCCUCUUUCUCUCACGCUCACUCACUGCCCAGUUGACAACCCAUCUUUUUUCCUAUUCACAAUAUCUUUGUUGCACCCUCCAUCCUGCCCUCCCUCCCUCCCAUUCUCUCUUGCUCUCAGUAUCCAUCUAAGUGGUGUGCUUAUUUGCUUCUGCCUAAAUAUAUGUGCAUCUCUACCUCUCCCUCUCUCUUCCUCUCUGCACAACACAGCCAAACACUGCCCUGCCUAACCACACAGGAGAUUUCUUCAACAAAUAUUUUGUGGAUUUUUUGUGCAGAAAUCUGAAAUGUAACUCAAACUCGAAUAAUUGGACCUUUUCUCAUUUUGUAUUUUUAUUUAGACAACCGUAGAUUUUUUUAUGAUGAUUUGUUGAUUUUGGUCAGAUUUUUGCCUCCUAAUCUGAGAGUGUAGAGAUUGAUUGGUAUGUUGUGUGUGUGACUGAGUGUUGAUGGAGGUUUCAGUAAGAGCUGUGUCUGUAUCGCCCAGCAGCAUCGUCAUUUGUGUGAACUGAGAGUGGAUGGAGUCCUAAUCCCCGUUAACAGAUUCAUUAUCGCUGGGCACAAUCGUGCGCUGCCUUGUUGUGAAGUCGCCUGGCUGAGCGAUCUGCUGCCUGAAUGGGGUUCUGACAUGACGAUAAGGGUCCCUCUGGGGUGUCUUCUCAAUCCUAAUCCCUCUCUCUCCUCCCUCUCUCUCCUCUCUCUCUUGCGCUGAGGGCUCCUCUCUUAUCCAUCAACACAAGCACCUCUCCACUGUUACCAGACAACCAUCCAAUCACAGGCUGUUUAAUAUUUCAAAAACAAAAACAGACCUUGUUAUUUAUUUACAUUUUACGUAUUUUUGGGGUUCAUGUCCCUAAACCUAUAUAUUUCAGGAUGAGUUUUUUUCCCAAGAGGAUCCAGCGCUGAUGGUUGGCAACGGUAUACCUCAGUGAGUGUGUAGAUAUUUGACAGAACACCAGAGAAGAGCAAGAGAUAGCAGAACACCCUCCCAACGCUACAGUCAAAGUUCCUUUCAACAGGGUGGAGGAGGGGGGGUUAGGCGAUAGAGUAUGUCUGCCAUGGCGACCGUGCCCAGCUACACCCCUUCGCUAUGGGUGAGGAUGUGCCACGCCCUCCCCCGGCUGGACCUCACCAUGACGAUGAGAGACAACCUCUUCAUCCCCGACAGCUGGGAGUACCAACAGACUCUACUGGUCCUCUCUAGUCUCUCGGCCAUUGCUCUCGUUCUCUCCCUCCUCGUCAUUAUCUCCUUCCUUAUACACUACUGCUGCUGUCGCCGUGGUGACCGGAGCGAGGGAUCUGAGGAAGAGGAGGAGGAUGAAGAGGGCAGCACGGGCCAUGGAUACGGAGGCAAGAAAGGGCGGGGUAUCUGCUGUGUCACCUGGGUGUCGGUGGCGGCUGUCACACUGUGCUGUGUUGCCAUAGGUGUUGGUUUCUAUGGCAACAGCGAGGCUAAUGAUGGGAUAUAUCAGUUGACCUCAUCUCUUCUCACAGCCAAUUACACACUGGCUUCCAUCGAUCUGCUGGUUUCAGACACAAUCUCUGGGCUACAGCUGUCCAUCGCUGGGCCCCUGACCACUAUGGAGGAGCUGUUUACAGGCAGUAAGCCCUACUUGGUGUCCACCCGGAACUGUAGGAGACUGUCAGAGAACGUGGUGUCCCUGCUCACCUCUCUGACAAUGGCUCGCUCCUCUGACGGGGGUGCCUGGAACAGCAGUAACAAUAGGGGAGAUCCUCCCAUAGCAGCCCUCACCCCUGUGCCCCCCUCCAUGGCCCCCACAGUGGCACCAGUCGGAGGUGUCAUGCCAAGCCCCUUCUCCCCUGGCUGGGCAGCCAACACACUGAUGGUCAACGAGGACUACAGGUGGCUGUCCUACGUGCUGCUGUUGCUGUUGGACCUCCUAGUGUGUCUGUUCAUCCUGCUGGGGCUAGCCAAACAGGCCCGCUGGCUCCUCAUCCUGAUGACGGUGCUGGCCUGGCUGGCUCUGUUCCUGAGCUGGGGAUCCCUGGGCCUGGAGACUGCCACUGUGGUGUCUGUCAGUGACUUCUGUACAGAUCCUAACACCUUUGUGCUCAACUCCACCCACUUCAACUCUGGGACCAGCUCAGACGUGUUGGAUUAUUACCUGACCUGCAGCAGACGUAUGAACAGCCCUUUCCAGCAGCUGCUGACCCAGUCACAGAGGGCCCUUUCCAGCAUUCACACACACCUAUCCAGCCUGGACCGGAAUGCUCUCCCACAGGUCCCCAAGGCAGAGAAGUCACUCAGGGAGGUUCAGCAGAUUCUCAAUGCCACAGAGGGCAACUUUCACCAGCUGGUGGCGCUACUCCACUGUCGAGGUCUCAACAAAGAUUAUAUUGACUCUUUGAAAGGCCUGUGCUCUGACGGGAUGGAGGGAUUGCUCUACCUCUCCCUCUACUCUUUCCUUUCGGCUCUGGCCUUCACUGCCAUCCUCUGUUCCCUGCCCGGCGCCUGGAGAAGCUUCCCCAGUGAUUCCGAGGAGUAUGAAGAUUCGGACAGCGAGAGCGAGGACCCCUUCACUUCCCAUCAGGCACGUAGACAGCCGGCCGUGGGGUCUCAGCGAGGGGCCCUGCCCCCCUUCUAUAAUUACCAGGGGGCCGGGUGGACUCCUCCAUUUUCUAGCGCGCCACCCCUCCCUCCAGUUAAUGCCCUAAGAAGUGUACUUUCCUACCUUGUGUCUUAGCAUGUAGAACAUAACUAAAUGCCAAGUCCCGUUAAUGCCCUAAGAAGUGUACUUUCCUACCUUAUGUCUUAGCAUGUAGAACAUAACUAAAUGCCAAGUCCAGUUAAUGCCCUAAGAAGUGUACUUUCCUACCUUAUGUCUUAGCAUGUAGAACAUAACUAAAUGCCAAGUCCAGUUAAUGCCCUAAGAAAUGUACUUUCCUACCUUAUGUCUUAGCAUGUAGAACAUAACUAAAUGCCAAGUCCAGUUAAUGCCCUAAGAAGUGUAUUUUCCUACCUUGUGUCUUAGCAUGUAGAACAUAACUAAAUGCCAAGUCCCGUUAAUGCCCUAAGAAGUGUACUUUCCUACCUUAUGUCUUAGCAUGUAGAACAUAACUAAAUGCCAAGUCCAGUUAAUGCCCUAAGAAGUGUACUUUCCUACCUUGUGUCUUAGCAUGUAGAACAUAACUAAAUGCCAAGUCCAGUUAAUGCCCUAAGAAGUGUAUUCUCCUACCUUAUGUCUUAGCAUGUAGAACAUAACUAAAUGCCAAGUCCAGUUAAUGCCCUAAGAAGUGUACUUUCCUACCUUAUGCCUUAGCAUGUAGAACAUAACUAAAUGCCAAGUCCAGUUAAUGCCCUAAGAAGUGUACUUUCCUACCUUAUGUCUUAGCAUGUAGAACAUAACUAAAUGCCAAGUCCAGUUGGUGUAUUCAGGCGCUGUAAACACUGUGAUCGACAGUGGCCCUAGCCUAGAUCUAAUAGUAACAGUAUCAUGACCAAACUGCCCAGAGUAAAGUAACUCAGAUUCCAGGUACCCAAUAAACAAUAAGAAUGCAGUGGACUCCUGAUAAAUGCUCUGGUUUGGGGCCGUCUGUAAAGCACACACUAAAGUGGAGCAUGUGGAUAUCCAGAGCAAUUAAAAAUGAAUGUAUUUUGAAUUGGGACUGGUGAAGUUUUAAAUUGCCAUGCACGUACACGUUGUACACAAAUGUGCACUUCAUCAUUGUACAUGAGUUUACAUUUCCCAAAGUGCACUUCUCAGGAGUGGACUGUGUGUAUAAUAUCUGUGUCCCCAUGCUGAAACCUCCAGCUAUCCCCCUGCCUACGUAGAUAUAGUGCCCUAAUAACACUAAUGCCACCAGUUAUAAGGAGGUUUCUACAUCACCAUUUCGCUAAUCGCUCUUCCUCCCUUUCUCUUCUUACCCCACCUCGGUUCCCUACUUUGGUCCACCUCCCUCUUUUUGUUUUUCUCAAUGUGUCUCAUCCCUUUUUCCCCUCUCUCUCACUCAUUCUCCACUCCUUCUCCUCUUCCUCCUCUUCUGCCUUCCUGCUUUUCCUUUCGUUUCCUCUCUCUUUCUGUCUCUUUUCAGGACUCCAAACGUUUCCUCCAAUGGCAACCCUGGCUAUGAGAGCCUACCCCUGACUGACAGGCAGUCCCCACCCCCCUCUUACUCUCCCAGCAUGCUGAC